rfam:Cavia porcellus supercont2_28 genomic scaffold, whole genome shotgun sequence.
AACCAGGCUUUAUUAAAAGCCACACCUAUUUAUUUAGUGUUAUCAG